rnacentral:misc_RNA from 1 species
GCAGCCGGCCACGGUAGGGUCAGCGACUGGGGUGAAGUCGUAACAAGGUAGCCGUAGGGGAACCUGCGGCUGGAUCACCUCCUUUCUAAGGAUGAUCCUUCAGCGAGCUCACGCUCACUAUCGGAUCGUUUUAGAAACAUCAGUGGCCAACAGAUCGCCAGAUCGUUGAGCUGCAUUGGCGGGAUUUCGCCGUCUUCGUUUCUCUUUCUUCGCGGACGAACACGCGCUGGGCCUGCAUCAAGCAGGAUCCCACGGUCCCUGACGGGAUAUGCGUUAGGGGCUUGUAGCUCAGUUGGUUAGAGCGCGCGCUUGAUAAGCGUGAGGUCGGAAGUUCAAGUCUUCCCAGGCCCACCACUUUCAUCGAGUGAGCAUUCGUCUUCUGGUUACGGGGCCAUAGCUCAGCUGGGAGAGCGCGUGCUUUGCAAGCAUGAGGUCGUCGGUUCGAUCCCGUCUGGCUCCACCAGAUGGUUUGAUCACCGAGAUCUUGCACCGUCGUCCGCGAAACAUCACUUCGCAUCCUGCUAGUCUGGAUAGACAGCAAGAUGCGUGUUUUCUGACAUCGUAAAGAGGAGAUCGAUCCGAGUUGGGUCGUGCAGCAGAUUGUUGCGCGAACCUUCAUUAUCUCCGGAUCAUUUUCGGCGCUCGCUUUCAGCCGUGAGGUUGAAUGCGAGUUGUAAAAUGAUCCUUUUAGCGAAGCUUGACCGCCUCGCUAUCGGAACGAUCUUACGAAGCAAGCUGGUCUUUCUAGUCAAUGUCCGGCUGCACGUAGCAUUCAUCGAGGGUGCGCGCCGUAAGGCAAUCGUGCAGACAACAUUCUGCCGAGUGUGUGGACAUUGAUAAUGAGAGCAAUCAAGUGCCUUAAGGGUGUUCGGUGGAUGCCUUGGCGCUGAGAGGCGAUGAAGGACGUGCUACGCUGCGAUAAGCCGUGGGGAGCUGCGAAGAAGCUUUGAUCCGCGGAUUUCCGAAUGGGGAAACCCACCUUCGAUAGCCGGAACUCCAAGACCUUGUGUUUUGGUGUUCGACCAGAAAUGAUCGGGACCAUGACCCUAGAGGUUUUGGAUUUCCGGUUAUCAAGAGAAGGUAUGAGACUUCUGAAUACAUAGGAGGUUUCAAGCAA